rnacentral:piRNA from 1 species
UACCAACUGAGCCACAUCCCCAGAUUUGAGU